CGUUCGUGGGUUAAUAGCUGUGAACGUCCUGACCAUAGAAGGGAAGUCCUCAGCAACUUCACUGAAGGAAAGAUUUGACUGAGACUUGAUGCCUCAGUUAUCCAGAGAGAACAAAACAAAGCAUGCUUCACUUUGAUGAUCUGGCUAAUUGUAAGCACAGGGGUUCCACUUCAUCUCUUUGUAGACUGAAUGCCUGGAGGCAAAGAUUGACCUUGAGGGAGAUUUGUGGAAAAAACAUGAAGAAGCGUAUCUACUUCUGGAUAUUAUAGAUAUUGACUGUUCUGCUGCACUGGAGAGAGAGAGAAAAACAUAAGGAAGGGAAGAUCUUAAACACAAACCAGCUAGUCACGGAUUUAAAAAUGUUACAGCUGAAAACAUUCCUCUACUUUAAUGCUCCAACUAUGUCUUGACUUAACUAUUUAUAGGCUGAUGACUAAAGUCAUAUUCAAAAGAGCGAAGUGUUAUCUAAACUUGAAUGCAUAUAAAUCAAUCGGAAUGUAUUUACAGAAGUAUUACAUAAAGAUUCA